rnacentral:rRNA from 1 species
UACGGAGGAUCCGAGCGUUAUCCGGAAUCAUUGGGUUUAAAGGGUCCGUAGGCGGGCCGUUAAGUCAGGGGUGAAAGUCUGCGGCUCAACCGUAGGACUGCCCUUGAUACUGGCGGCCUUGAGUUAUGGUGAAGCAGCCAGAAUAUGUGGUGUAGCGGUGAAAUGCAUAGAUAUCACAUGGAAUACCGAUUGCGAAGGCAGGCUGCUAACCAUAUACUGACGCUGAUGGACGAAAGCGUGGGUAGCGAACAGGAUUAGAUACCCUGGUAGUCCACGCCGUAAACGAUGGAUACUAGCUGUCCGGCGGCAACGCUGGGCGGCCAAGCGAAAGUGAUAAGUAUCCCACCUGGGGAGUACGUCCGCAAGAUUAAA